AUGCUCCGCCUCCGGAGCUGCGUCCUCGCCCAUCUCCUCUCCUCUCCCGCCACCUCCCCGCUCCCCUCUCUCCACCGCCUCCUCUCCGCCGCCGCCGCCUCCCCCAGCUCCGGCUUCUCCGUGGAGGAGUACCUCGUCUCCACCUGCGGGCUCACCCGAGCGCAGGCCCUCAAGGCCUCCCCCAAGCUCUCCCACCUGAGGUCCCCAUCCAAGCCCGACGCCGUCCUCGCCUUCCUCGCCGGCCUCGGCAUCCCCAGCUCCGACGUCGCGGCCCUAGUCGCCAGGGACCCCAAGUUCCUCUGCGCCAGCGUGGAGAGAACCCUGUUCCCCAUCGUCGACGGGCUCACCGGCCUCGGACUGUCGCCUUCCGAGAUCGCGCGACUCGUCCCGCUCACCGCCAACAACAACCACUCCCGCAACAAAUCCGUCGUCUCCAAGGUGGACUACUACCUGCGCCUCUUCGGCUCCUUGGAGGAAUUCCUCCGGGCAUUCAAGCAUAACCACAAUCUCCUCUCACACAACCUCGAGACGGUGGUCAAGCGGAAUGUCGGGUUGCUGCAGGAGUGCACGCUAGGUGCUUGCGACAUUGCCAAGCUUGCCAUCUCUAUGCCAAGGAUGCUCACCGCCAACGUGGAACAAAUCCGGGGGAUGGUGGCCGGUGCUGAACGUCUAGGUGUGCCUCGCGGCUCUGGGAUGUUCCGGCAAGCCAUGCGGAGUGUUGCGUUCGACAGCGAGGACAAGAUCGCCGCCAAAAUGGAAUACAUGAAGGAGACGUUUAGGUGGUCGGAUGCCGAGGUGCGCAUUGCUGUGUCCAAGGCUCCAAUGCUGCUCACCUUGGGCAAGGACCUGCUGCAGAGGAAGUCAGAGUUCCUCAUCUCCGAGGUUGGACUGGAACCACCAUACCUUGCUCAUCGCCCGAUAAUGCUCAGUUACAGCCUAGAGGGGCGGCUCAGGCCACGGUACUACGCUGUAAAGUUUCUCAAGGAAAACGGAUUGCUCAAGGGCAACCUGGGCUAUAAGACAAUUUGGGAUCUGGUUGAGAAAAUAUUCAUGGAGAAGUACAUAUGCCCUCACAUGGAGGCUGCACCACACCUUGCUGAAGACUAUGCGGCCGCAUGCAGAGGGGAAGCGCCAACUAGAUUCAGAUUUACUUGA
rnacentral:rRNA from 1 species